AUUUUUCUCCACCAUUUCUCUAGGAAGUGAGGAUGGAGGGAUGGAGGAAGGGGGGAUGGAUGUCUGCUCCUUCUCACAGUAACUCCAGCACUUGGCAGGUUGGGUGGCUACCCAUCUAGAAGAAGCUAGAUCUCAGAGAAAGUUGUGUAAUGUCCUGCUCAGUGAAGGCAUGCAUUCCUGGAAGAGCAGAGGUCCUGAGAAUGUCAAAAGCUCUUGAAAACAGGUCCAGUUUCCACUUUGCCAGACGCUAUGCCAAAGACUGCUCUGAGAGCUAAUUUUGGAUAAUGAGCAAUCAGCAAGGGCAGAACAUCCUUCUUUUCCCUCUCUGGAUUUUGCCAGCAAACAGCAGUAGGCUAGCAGCUCUACAUGGAAUCUCCUGGCCAGCAGCUCUCACCAGGAACAAGAGUCCAGGGCAGGAGCUUCAGAAAGACUACAGGAGCCAUGUGGACUUGAGAAACACUGCUCACAAUGAUGAAGCUGAGUCACAGAAAGGUUUCCAGAAUCUGGAUCACAACUGA
rnacentral:lncRNA from 1 species